AAAUAGGUGUUGAUUCUUUUAGAAUACAAUACACUUCUUAGAGGGACUGUUGACGUUUCCAGUCAACGGAAGUUGGAGGCAAUAACAGGUCUGUGAUGCCCUUUGAUGUUCUGGGCCGCACGCGCGCUACACUGAUAAAGGCAGCGAGUCUCAUUACUGGCCUGUAAAGGUUGGUUAAACUUGCAAACUUUAUCGUGCUGGGGAUCGCCCCUUGCAAUUAUUGGACGUGAACGAGGAAUUCCUAGUAAGCGCAGGUCAUCAGCCUGCGUUGAUUUCGUCCCUGCUCUUUGUACACACCGCCCGUCGCU
rnacentral:rRNA from 1 species